GCCACGCGCUGCGCGGCCGGGGCGGCGCGGCGCUGCUGCUGGCCGCGCUGGAAGAGGCGGCCGUCGAGCUGGGCGCCCGGCGCAUGGUGC
rnacentral:tRNA from 1 species